CUUUUAGUUCCUAGCCCAACAUACAAUACAGGGCAACAACUAUAUGCACACCAAACGUGACCCCACCCCUAUACCGUUUGUUCUUCUUCUCCAAAAGUUCAAUGAAACCCAGUUCACGCGCUGAAAAGUCCAGAAAAACUCGAGCAAAGCAGCGAACCAGACGACACCAAAAUAUAGUGACCCUCGUUCUCUCUUACACUUGCGCGUGGUCCUCUUCUCUCGUACAUGAAGCAAUUAAGAGAUUCAGUCCAUGUGGCUCUAUCUCUUUGCACGAUUGUCCUUUUCUCAAAAUCGACGGCCUCUAUUAUCAAUCCAUUGGGAACUGGUACAAUUCAUGCUGCAACCUUAUCUCUCAAGGAUGGACUUGAAUUUCGAAUGGGGAAAAUCUCUCGAAAUCCCUCCCAAAUUCCCCCCAAGUCUGACCUAGAUUUUCUUCUAUAAAUUCCCCAUCUUCUUCUUUAUUUCGAGGUUGGGGAAAAAACUGAGUUAAUAGGUUAUGAAAAAUAAAAGAGGAAGAAACCGGAAGAAAGUAGCACUCUAGUAACCACAUUUUUAGAUUUUUUUUCUUUCGGAAGCUUUCGUCGGAGCUUCUAAAAUUUAUAGUAGUUUCAUCGUAUAUAGAUUCCAAAAAGAAUCACGAGUUACUUUUAAUCUUGGUUUCUCGCUUAUUCACUAUUCUCCGAAGUUCUUGGAUUCUCAUUGUGGUCGUGGAAAACUUUUUCCCUGCUCGUCUGUCUUAGUCGCUGCUCAGCAAGAGGUCUUAGUAGAAGCCACAAGUGGCGAUCAAUCAUGGGAUCUUUUGCAUAUUGUAGAUAUCAAAGACGAGGGUGAGCACUUGGAGUCUUGGUCCAACCUGUCUCGUUCUAUACAUAUCUUGAUAAGGCUAAUUGUUGUCCUCUUUUGGGACUUAUAUUUUUCUUAUUAGAUAGCUCUGUACUUAUGACUUACUGGUUAUGAAGGGUUUCCAUUAAAUAUAUCUUCUAGUUUGCUUUCUAA